AAAUUAUUUCUAGUUUUUAUAUUUAUAUUUUAUUUAUUAUUUAUAUAAGAAUUUUCAAAAAUUUUAUAAAUUAUUAAAUAUAAUUUUUUUAAUUUUUAAUUAAUAUAUAAAAUUAUAAAUUUAAAGAAAUUUAAAUAUAAUAUUAUAAAUUAUUAUUGUUAUAAAUUUGUGCCAGCAAACGCGGUAAUACAAAAAAUAAAUUAAAUAUUUUUAAUAAAAUUUAAUAAAUAUCUAAAAAUAUUAAUUUUAUUAUUAUUUUUGAUAAAAUUUAAUUAUAAUUAUAUUAAUAUAUUUAAAAAGAUUAUGAUUUAUUAAAAUUUUAAUUAAACUAGGAUUAGAUACCCUACUAUAAAAUUAAAUUUUAAGUAUUAAAUAAAUUUUAAACUUAAAGAAUAUGGCAGUAUUUUAUUCAAUUUAGAGGAAUUUGUUUAAUAAUUGAUAAUACACGAUUAUUUUUACUUAAAUUAUAUUUGUAUAUCGUUGUUGUAAAAUUAUUUUUAAAUAAAUAAAUAGUUUAUUAUUUAUAAUUAAAUUUAAAUCAGAUCAAGAUACAGUUAUAUUUAAGAAUAUUAUGAGUUACAAUAAAUAUUUUUAUAUUGGAUUAAAAUUUUAAAUUUAUAUGAAAUUGGAUUUAAUAGUAAUAAAAUUAAUUAUAGUUUUAUGAAUUUAGUAUUAAAAUAUGUACAUAUUGCCCGUCACUCUCGUUUAAGUUAUAAUAUAAUUAAUUUAAUUGAGAUAAGUCGUAACAAAGUAAAAAUACUGGAAAGUGUUUUUAGAA
rnacentral:ncRNA from 1 species